rnacentral:rRNA from 1 species
AGUGAACGCUGGCGGUAGGCCUAACACAUGCAAGUCGAACGGCAGCACAGUAAGAGCUUGCUCUUACGGGUGGCGAGUGGCGGACGGGUGAGGAAUACAUCGGAAUCUACUUUUUCGUGGGGGAUAACGUAGGGAAACUUACGCUAAUACCGCAUACGAUCUACGGGUGAAAGUAGGGGAUCUUCGGACCUUGCGCGAUUGAAUGAGCCGAUGUCGGAUUAGCUAGUUGGCGGGGUAAAGGCCCACCAAGGCGACGAUCCGUAGCUGAUCUGAGAGGAUGAUCAGCCACACUGGAACUGAGACACGGUCCAGACUCCUACGGGAGGCAGCAGUGGGGAAUAUUGGACAAUGGGCGCAAGCCUGAUCCAGCCAUACCGCGUGGGUGAAGAAGGCCUUCGGGUUGUAAAGCCCUUUUGUUGGGAAAGAAAAGCAGCAGGUUAAUCCCCCGCUGUUCUGACGGUACCCAAAGAAUAAGCACCGGCUAACUUCGUG